UGCUGUCCACUGGGGUGCCGUUUUCGGCUGAGAUUACACCCAUUGAACCUGAUCUAGUUAACACUAGCGAAGGAAGUCAGGCGCACUCCAAG
rnacentral:ncRNA from 1 species